AAUGUAAGUAUAGACUAUAGAAUAACUUCAUCAACUGUUACAUUUUAUGGCCAUUGCCACCCAUUUAAAAUUUUCAGAUACCUCGCAUGUCUGGGGUUACCGCAGGCAUGAAAACCCCGGAAUGCAGCACACCAAGCAUGCAUGCACCAUACAGUAUGUGUGAAAAUUGGGCGGAAAUGUGCCAAAGCCGAUUAGCGUAUGUUUCCCCUACCGCGCACUUGUCGAGAGAACAGUUUAGCUAAAACCGAUAGAUAAUUUAAUAAUAAUUUAUUCCAAACAAAGUAUCAAAAGAGAUAUACGAAGUAUGCAAACAAAUUACAAGAUAAUAGGUAACACCUAAUACUACCCUGUAUUAAAUAAAUAGAUCUAUUUUUGUGAUUGUAGUAGAUCAAAAGUUGCUAAUAUGUCAUAAAAAAAAAAUUUUAAAAAAUAAAAAAUUCAAAAAAAUGCGCAGUCGAAGGUAUGAACUGACUGUACAAACUAAAAAUUUGCGGUAUGAAGGAUGUACAACUACUACCUUUGAAAAAUAUAAGCAGAACUUCGUGAUUGCAUGGUAUAUAUUGUUUAGAAGGGUCUUAUAGUCGAGUGGAAAUUUAUAAUACAUUUAUUAGACCUAACUGAGGAACAGCUGGGAAAAAUGCAACCAGGGACGCCGGAACUGGGGGGGGGGGGCAGGAGGGGCAGCCGCCCCCGUUGCCCUUUACCAGGAGGGGCAAGGGGGGCAAAGGUGCCCUUUCAAUUUAAAGGAUUGCCUUGGCGAAAUAGCGAAUUGUCAGAAAUGUUAGUGCAAUUCUCUUACGAAUUUGCUUCAGAAAACGCAAGAAAUGCAGUCAUUGAACUUCAAGACUAUAGCACAAUCGCCUGGCGAAGAACCCCCUCACACCCCUAUCAUCCAAUAAAUAGAAAACAUGAUUAGGCGAAGUUCAACUCCCGAUGUUUUGCAAACAUCUCUUAGUAUAUAUCAAUUGAAAAGUGCCCUUUCACGGAAAUCUGCCCCCCUUGCCUUCACAUCGUUCCGGCGUCCCUGAAUGCAACUAUAUAAGUUAGUUCUAAUGAAUGUAUUUCAAAAACUCGUUAUAAUUCAUGAGGAAAAUCAUUACCGUGUCGGGUGGUUUGGUGGUUUUAUAUGUGAUAAAAAAAUCAUGUUCAUUUACAUUUACAUAAACUUUAGCUUUGAUUUUCUCGGCUUAGAUAACAUAAGUACGACAUAGUACAUAAAUUUCCAUUUCUACUCUAUAAUUUCCAUCUACAAUCCCGUUCAACUUAUUCAAUCAAUUGAGAUGCCAACAAAAUCUUGAUAUUGUUCUGA